AGUAAGUUAGGGGUAAUGGGCCAAUAAAGUCAGUGGCAAGACAUUCCCAUGGAGCACCAUAUGACAUUGUUCCAAGAAGAGCCUUAGGUUUUUGUACUGGAGAACUGGAGAAAUAUCAGGGUCUUUAAUUUGAGCGGUUUGCAAUGCUGCAGAGGAAUAUUGACUAUGCCAGACAGUACAGUCUGAUAAUGCAGAUUCCUUAUUCUUUUGUCUGGUAGUGACCUUCCUUGCGACAACAUCUGAUUGUUCAGGACACAAAG